CGAAGUCUGCUUAAAAAACUCAAUGAUAUAAUCUGUAGUGAAGAUGCUCCAUUUUAAUUGUUAGACGAGAAGUCCCCAUGGAGCUUUACUGUAAGCUUAUAUCUAUAUUAUUUUUUUUUUAUAAGUAAGACAGUUUGGUGGGGGCGACAGUUUUUUAAAAAGUAACGAAAAUGAGCUAUGACGCAUGUUUAACUUUGAAAUUUUUUUAUUGAUGAGCACCAUUUUGGGUGUGUUUACUGGAUCCGUUUAUUUUGACAUGAAAAAAAUAACGAAAACAGAUUAAAGUUCACCCUGGGGA
rnacentral:rRNA from 1 species